rnacentral:rRNA from 1 species
GCAUAUCAAUAAGCGGAGGAAAAGAAACCAACCGGGAUUGCCUCAGUAACGGCGAGUGAAGCGGCAAGAGCUCAAAUUUGAAAUCUGGCCCCUCCGGGGUCCGAGUUGUAAUUUGCAGAGGAUGCUUCGGGUGCGGCCCCUGUCUAAGUGCCCUGGAACGGGCCGUCAGAGAGGGUGAGAAUCCCGUCUUGGGCAGGGUGCCCGUGCCCGUGUGAAGCUCCUUCGACGAGUCGAGUUGUUUGGGAAUGCAGCUCAAAAUGGGUGGUAAAUUUCAUCUAAAGCUAAAUACCGGCCGGAGACCGAUAGCGCACAAGUAGAGUGAUCGAAAGAUGAAAAGCACUUUGAAAAGAGAGUUAAACAGCACGUGAAAUUGUUGAAAGGGAAGCGCUUGCAACCAGACUCGGCCUCGGGGUUCAGCCAGCAUUCGUGCUGGUGUACUUCCCCGGGGCCGGGCCAGCGUCGGUUUGGGCGGCCGGUCAAAGGCCCCAGGAAUGUAUCGUCCUCCGGGACGUCUUAUAGCCUGGGGUGCAAUGCGGCCAGCCUGGACCGAGGAACGCGCUUCGGCACGGACGCUGGCGUAAUGGUCGCAAACGACCCGUCUUGAAACACGGACCAAGGAGUCUAACAUCUACGCGAGUGUUCGGGUGUCAAACCCGUACGCGCAGUGAAAGCGAACGGAGGUGGGAGCCCCCCCGGGGCGCACCAUCGACCGAUCCUGAUGUCUUCGGAUGGAUUUGAGUACGAGCGUAGCUGUGGGGACCCGAAAGAUGGUGAACUAUGCCUGAAUAGGGUGAAGCCAGAGGAAACUCUGGUGGAGGCUCGCAGCGGUUCUGACGUGCAAAUCGAUCGUCAAAUUUGGGUAUAGGGGGCGAAAGACUAAUCGAAACCAUCUAGUAGCUGGGUUCUGCGAG